rnacentral:rRNA from 1 species
AACGCUGGCGGCGCGCUUAACACAUGCAAGUCGAGCGAGAACCAGGGCUUCGGCCCUGGGGACAGCGGCGAACGGGUGAGUAACACGUGGGUAAUCUGCCCUCGAUUCUGGGAUAGCCCGGGGAAACCCGGAUUAAUACCGGAUAGCCUCUCGAGCUCUCGGGCUGGCGAGAAAAGGUAGCUUCGGCCUCCGAUCGAGGAUGAGCCCGCGGCGGAUUAGCUUGUUGGCGGGGUAAUGGCCCACCAAGGCGACGAUCCGUAGCUGGUCUGAGAGGACGAUCAGCCACACUGGGACUGAGAAACGGCCCAGACUCCUACGGGAGGCAGCAGUGGGGAAUCUUGCGCAAUGGGCGAAAGCCUGACGCAGCGACGCCGCGUGGGGGAAGAAGGCCUUCGGGUUGUAAACCUCUUUCAGGAGGGACGAAGCCGCUCGGGUUAAUAGCCCAGAGGGUGACGGUACCUCCAGAAGAAGCCCCGGCUAACUACGUGCCAGCCGCCGCCGUAAGAC